UGGCUCGAGGACGAACGCUGGCGGCGUGCUUAACACAUGCAAGUCGAACGGUAAGGCCCUUCGGGGUACACGAGUGGCGAACGGGUGAGUAACACGUGGGUGAUCUGCCCUGCACUUCGGGAUAAGCCUGGGAAACUGGGUCUAAUACCGGAUAGGACCAUGGACUUCACGGUUUGUGGUGGAAAGCUUUUGCGGUGUGGGAUGGGCCCGCGGCCUAUCAGCUUGUUGGUGGGGUAAUGGCCUACCAAGGCGACGACGGGUAGCCGGCCUGAGAGGGUGUCCGGCCACACUGGGACUGAGAUACGGCCCAGACUCCUACGGGAGGCAGCAGUGGGGAAUAUUGCACAAUGGGCGCAAGCCUGAUGCAGCGACGCCGCGUGAGGGAUGACGGCCUUCGGGUUGUAAACCUCUUUCAAUAGGGACGAAGCGCAAGUGACGGUACCUAUAGAAGAAGCACCGGCCAACUACGUG
rnacentral:rRNA from 1 species